rnacentral:snRNA from 1 species
AGGUUAAUCCGAGGCGUGAUCAUUGCUGGUUGAAAACUUUACCCAAUACCCCGCUAGGAUGACUUGAAAUAUAGUCAGCCAUGGCAAUUUUUGAUGGUCUCGUUUGAGA